rnacentral:rRNA from 1 species
UACGGAGGAUGCAAGCGUUAUCCGGAAUUAUUGGGCGUAAAGCGUCCGCAGGUGGCACUUCAAGUCUGUCGUCAAAGACCGGGGCUUAACCCUGGAAAGGCGAUGGAAACUGAAAGGCUAGAGAGAGGUAGGGGUAGAGGGAAUUCCCAGUGUAGCGGUGAAGUGCGUAGAGAUUGGGAAGAACAUCGGUGGCGAAAGCGCUCUACUGGACCUCAUCUGACACUCAGGGACGAAAGCUAGGGGAGCGAAUGGG